rnacentral:rRNA from 1 species
CAAUAGCGUAUAUUAAAGUUGUUGCGGUAAAAAAGCUCGUAGUUGGAUUUCUACCGAAGAUAGCCGGUCGGGUCUUCGACCUUGUAUCUGGGUUUGUCUUUGGUAUCCUCAUAGGGAACGUUUCUGCGCUUUAUUGCGUGGUGCGGUAUCUAUGACUUUUACUUUGAGGAAAUUAGAGUGUUCACGGCAGGCAAACGCCUUGAAUAUAUUAGCAUGGAAUAAUAACAUAGGAUCUUCGUCCUAUUUUGUUGGUUUCUAGGGCUAAGAUAAUGAUUAAUAGGGAUAAUUGGGGGCAUCUGUAUCAACGCGUCAGAGGUGGAAUUCUUGGAUUGCGUUGCGACAAACUACUGCGAAAGCAUUUGCCAAGGAUGUUUUCAUUGA